GUGAGAGGAAUAUCAAGAAGAGAGCCACAUUUGCUUUCUAUUAGAAUGCAGAUUUCUUUUUUUAAAAAAAAAACAAGAGUGCACACGCUGAAAUGUCUCGCCUUCUAUACUAAUCAUUGAUAUCAUGUUGAUAGUCCUAAGUAUAAAGCUAAGCUUUAUUACAACUGUCACAUAAACUUAACAUUAACCAAGAUAACUAAACAAAGACCAAUGAACCUUGAAAAUGAGGUCAAGGUCAGAUGAACCAUGCCAGGCAGACAUGUACAGCUAACAAUGCUUCUAUACAACAUAUAUAGUUGACCCAUUACUUAUAGUUUAAGAAAAAUAGCCCAAAACACAAAAACUUAACACUGUGCAAUGAACCGUGAAAAUGAGGUCAAGGUCAAAUAAAACCUGCUCGACUGACAUAAAGAUCAUAAAAUAUUUCCAUACACCAAAUAUAGUUGACCUAUGGCAUAUAGUAUUAGGUAAAAAGACCAUAACUCAAAAACUGAACUUUGACCACUGAACCAUGAAAAUGAGGUCAAGGUCACAUGACAUCUGCCCGCUAGACAUGUACACCUUACAAUCAUUCCAUACAACAAAUAUAGUAGACCUAUUGCAUAUAGUAUGAGAAAAAUAGACCAAAACACAAAAAUUUAACUAUAACCACUGAACCAUGAAAAUGAGGUCAAGGUCAGAUGACACCUGCCAGUUGGACAUGUACACCUUACAGUCCUUCCAUACACCGAAUAUACUAGCCCUAUUGUUUAUAGUAUCUGAGAUAUGGACUUGACCACCAAAACUUAACCUUGUUCACUGAUCCAUGAAAUGAGGUCGAGGUCAAGUGAAAACUGUCUGACAGACAUAAGGACCUUGCAAGGUACGCACAUAUCAAAUAUAGUUAUCCAAUUACUUAUAAUAAGAGAGAAUUCAACAUUACAAAAAAUUUGAACUUUUUUUCCAAGUGGUCACUGAACCAUGAAAAUGAGGUCAAGGACAUUGGACAUGUGACUGACGGAAACUUCGUAACAUGAAGCAUCUGUAUACAAAGUAUGAAGCAUCCAGGUCUUCCACCUUCUAAAAUAUAAAGCUUUUAAGAAGUGAGCUAACGCCGCCGCCGCCGCCGCCGGAUCACUAUCCCUAUGUCGAGCUUUCUGCAACAAAAGUUGCAGGCUCGACAAAAAAUUGAUAGGUGUUUAGCGCCACUCUCGGCAUUAUUGUGCUAUUUUGUGGCAGUAAGCGUUAUUUGAUGGAGGUAGGCGGAGUGCCGGAAUAGAAUCAUCGACCUUCGGAAGAAAAAAUGACAUCCUGACGUGUUUUUUUAACGAUCUUGAAAACCAAUGAGCGUUUAACAUGGUCGGUAUACAACCUCAGUGUUGACAGGCUAGUGAUACAGAAAUUCGACUUUUUACUCGAGGCUCUUGUAGAAAAUACGUUUUGAAUCACAAUACGUGACAAAUAUAGUUUUUAAACAAGAAUUCAAGCAUCCUCAUUAUAUCAAUUGAAGAGAAUUUCCUAUUUGAAUCAGGGUGUGUUUUUUUAUGCCCCACCUACGAUAGUAGAGGGGCAUUAUGUUUUCUGGUCUGUGCCUCCGUUCGUGCGUGCGUUCGUCUGUUCGUCCGUCCGUCCGUCCGUGUAUCCGUUCGCUUCAGG
rnacentral:lncRNA from 1 species